GGUUCGGUAGUACGCAUCCGAUCCGAACGAACGAGCCCGCUGCAUUACGACUUCGUAUGCGCUCACCUUAACAUGUCCCGCUGCUUUUCGAGCCGCGAUUUCCGCGUCGCGCCGAUCUUUUAACCCCGUUUCGGACCUAAAGGCCGCCCCUCAGCCGGACUGUGUCACAGAUUGCUAAAUUUAGCGGCUUGUCGAAAAUAGAACCGCGCCGAUAAGUCGAAUUCCGGACAAUUUGCACCAUAAGCGCGAGUUGCGGCCGACAAUGUGAAUGUCACGUGGGUUGUCAAUGUUUUGGGUUGUUCGGUGUAAUUGUGGACUGUUCGAGAUGGGCGGCAUGAAGAGCUUUUUCGCCUGUUUGAUCCUGGUCGCGCCUAUUUUCCUACAUUGUGCAGUGGCGAAGGAGACGGAAGUUCGUGCACUUGUGGGGACGAAUGUGAUGCUGCCGUGCAGGGUCGACGUGAACCAGUGCGGCGUUCUGCACAGCGUGAAAUGGUACAAGGAAGCGUCUAGGAUAUACGUGUUCAGCCAAGCCGGACAGAUCCGUCGGGGAGAAGGAGAAGCCAGCGAAAGGAUGAAUGUGACGUAUAACGAGGCAAAAAAUGAGACCUUGUUAACAAUUUCCCCAGUCAAAGUAGACGACGAGGCGACCUACAAAUGCGAAAUAACAUAUCUGGAAGUGGGUGAAAAUUGUGACGUCGUGCAAAUCGUGAAACUCACAACUCUGGUGAAACCGACGGACGUCAUUUUAACCUACAACGGCCAGCAGGUGAACGAGUCGACCAAGCUGGAGGAGAGAAACGAAGGAGACGAGGUGGUGCUGACGUGUAAAGCUCCAGGCGGAAAACCCAUUCCGACGGUCUCGUGGUACAAAGGCUCUCAGCUCAUGAACCUGGCCUCGUACUCGGCUCGCAGCGACGGAACGGACGGUACCGGCACGGGAAUUUCCAAGUUGCAGUUGACGCUGUCGAGAGGUGAUUUGAACGCGCGUUACGAAUGCAAAGUGGAGAGCCAGGCCUUGGACCAGCCAAUAACUAAGGGAGUCACUGUUCCCGUCAAAGUGAGUCCAACGGAUAUAGUGUUGACCGGUGUACAGGGCCACGUAACCCAAGGAACGAUCGUCUCGUUGUUGUGCGAAGUGAAGGGAGCCAGGCCCAUCGCCGAAGUGGAAUGGCGCAACACCACGGAGGUCCCGCUGAAGACCGAUUUAAGCACGGGGGUUGAAAUCAAGACCACCUACGAAGAGCAAACAGACGGCACCUUCACCACGAAGAGCAAACUCAGUUUUUCCGCUACGAGAUUCGAAAACGGCGCUCGAUUCGAAUGUAACGCCAAGAAUGAGGUCACUGAGACUAAGAUGGAGCCACCGUUGCAUACAGUAUUAUAUUUGUAUGUACGAUAUCCACCCGUUAUCACAAUAAGUGCUAUCGAAGACACAGUAGUAAACGAACGUGACAAUAUCACCCUCUUUUGCCAAUACUUCUCUAACCCCCAGAAACUGGAAGGCGCGACAUGGGUCAAAGACGGAAGGAACGUAACAAAAAUCCCAGGAAAACACAAAAACGGCGACACCAGAAACCCAUCUUUAACCAUAGUGGGGAUCACCAGAGAAGACAUGGGCGAGUACUCCUGCCUAUUACAAAACGAAGUCAACUCCACCCUCUCUGAAGAUUUCAUUUUCCUAGACGUCCAUUAUCCCCCGGACGUGGAGAUCAUCAUGGUACCUGCGACCCCAGCCAACGCCACCGAGCAGAAGAACGUCACACUACUGUGCAACGUUACUUCGGGCAAUCCCCCGGCACUACGCAAAGUGCGUUGGUUUCUCGAUGGCGAGCUCAUGGCCGAACUCCCCGAGUGCAACUACAGCCAGGCGGUGAUCAACGACACGCUGGGCGGUCCCUUCUGCGGCAUAGACCCCAGUAUAUUGAGUUUGAUAAAAGUGGAGCAGAGCUUCGCUGGGAACUACACGUGUCAGGGGGAAAACGAAGCCGGCGUCGGACCGGUCUCCGAGCCCAGAGAACUGAUAGUUUAUUAUCCUCCUUCCGCUGCCACGCUCACGCACCACCCUCCAACUGUGAUAAAGAAAGGUCAAGUCAUCUUGACGUGUUCCGUCGACGAGCCGGGUUUCCCCACAGACUUGACGUACUUGUGGUUCCGGAACGGCCACAUGGUACACAACAUAACGGUACCCAACUGGACGAUUCCCCAAGCGUCUCUGGAAACGCGGAGCAAUUUCAGCUGCAUCGCCUUGAAUAAAGGUGGUCAGAGUAGGCCGGCGUUCGACUUCGUGAAUGUAGAAGCGCCUCCGGCGCUUAUACCACAGGAUAAUACCCCGUACAAGGGCGUUUUGUACUCGUCCCAGAACAUGACCCUGACUUGUAGAAUCGAGUGUUCGCCGGUAUGUUCAAUCAAGUGGUACAAGGAUCAUGAAGAAAUCGACUUCGAUCGGGAUCCGUUGUACUACGUCGUCAACACGACGCAUCCGGCGGACUAUAAGAAGAACGACUUUGAGUCAAUUGAGUCGAUUUUGGUGUGGAAUAUGAAGAACUGGCCCGACAACCAGCUGGACAAAAGGGCGAACAACUCGUUCUACACGUGUGCUAGUUUUGACCCUCCGGACAGACACAGGGUUGGAGUUAACUUCACGACUGAAAUUGCGGUUCACUACCCUCCAGAAAAUUUAACGGUGUCCCACACAACCGUCAACGUGGUGGAAGACGAAACUCCCAUCGACGUGAAGUGUACCGGCGACGGCAGACCCACCUUGAACUACGUCUGGAAGAAGAACCUCACCGGGGAGCCCAUCAUGAAGAGCGACACCCUCAAACUCCCGAAAAUGUCGCGAAACUCCGCCGGCUACUACUAUUGCGAAGGCUUCAACAAAUACGGCAACAAAACAGUCGGGGUUUUAUUCAACGUCUGGUAUAAACCCGAAUGCAAAAUUGAACGCGGGGAGGUCGAUAGUUCCCAGGCUUUAAUCUGCAAAGCUGAUGGCAACCCCAACGAAAUGACGUUCUAUUGGACCAUAGUCGACCAGAACAAGACCCUCGACUUGAACCCUUCGGGAGGAAAAACGGAUUAUAGCUACGUUUACUUGGACUCCAGUCGCACCACCGACAUCGAGUACCAGUGCGUAGCUAACAAUACCAUCAAGGCCAGUGACCCAUGCUCCAUCAAGAUUGCAGCAUACCAGGAGCAAAGUAGUCAAAUCGGACGCCCAGGCAGCAAACUACCCUGGUACCUAAGCAAAGAAAAUCUGACGGUGAUAAUAGCGUCAAUUAUCACACUCAUCAUCUGUUUCCUAGUCGUCUGUGUCGUCAUAAUAAUACUGUGCAGGAAGAAGCGUCAAAAUACCAAAUGCAAUAAUCCUCUAGAGAUGGAAGAGAGAGAAAAGCCCGAUGGUCAGUCACCCGACAGUGCAACUCAGUCAAAGUGGCCGCUGAAACCGGGCGUCCUGGUGCACAUCAAUAAAAUGCACAACGUAAACAUUAGCCAAUUAAGCGUCGAUUCGACGCCGUUCCGGACGACCUCGGUUUCUAGCACCCUCUCUAAAUACAAAAGGAACAAAUCCAAAGUUUAUGCCAGGUUGCAAAGAUUAAAGGAUCUGCUCGGAUUUAGCGGACGCGAUCGCGUCCCAAGUGGCAUUAUUGAGGGAGCUAGUGGAGUCGUCACUUAUAAAAAAAUUAAGCCGACCACGCCCAGCGCCGACAGCAACACCAACUCGAGGAAGAGGAAGAAGCCAGGAUUUGCACCCAACCCGUCCUCUGCAGGAGAUAAGACGAGAUUAGGGGCUGCUCCACCGGUUGGCGGUUCAGCAGACCCCGCAAAUGAUCACGACAAAGGAUUUUACGAAAACCUCCCCUUCCACGGCAUGCAGAACCCACCAAAUAAACCAAUUUCAGUCAUUGCUCCAUUCACUCAAGAAACCACGCGUAAUUUCACCCCCGCAGCGAAACCCCUGUCCCCUUUCUCCCCCUGCCACAAAGCUAUACAGCGCCACCAAUCCUUCCAUGGCUUCCAGAGCAAUCAGCAAAUGCAUCAGUUGACCGCUUUUCCGGGAUUCAGUUUCAACAGGAGCAAUCCCUACUUGAACAAGUGGAAUUUUGGAAAUUUGCAAAGGCAGACUCCAUACGCGCAGAGUCAACAGGUCACGCAACCCUUCAGAUUCCAGAGUAAUUUUCAGCCGAUAUUAAAUUUUAAUCCGUUUUUGCUUCCGAACCCUUUCAGUAUCCCUCCAAGGGUUGCGGGACGAAGGGAAACGGACGUGAGGCGCACAGCUUCGGGUAUCAACAUCUCGGUAAUUGAGAAACCCAGAGACGAAACAAGAGAGAAUAAAAAUAAAGCGCAGGUAUCGAAUACGGACCCUCAUAACGAUAAACGUUUCGGGUCCUUGGAGUUGAAGAAGCACAAAUGUUACUCCCCGACGUUCUAUUCGAUGCGUUGCAAGAAACACGCAAAAAAGCGUCCCGUCGUGUACGCGCUGCCUAAAAAAGUUUUCGGUGAUCUCAAACCGCCCGAGGAAAAACCGCAGUAUCAAGACUUAACCGACAGCAUACAGAUAUUCGAACAGAGCCCUGAGCCAUCCGAGACGAAAAGCUUGCCUGUGCCGGCCCCCAGGUGCCGAAAACAUCGCAAAAAAGACAUAAUCUACCAAAACGUGUCUCAGGAAAUUCAGAACUCUAACUCUUCUCCGAAUCCGGACGUCUCGAAUAGCUCGAACGACGGUUCGGAGAAUUUGGAGAGUGAGAUUUCGGUGAUAGAGGCUCAGGUUCAUUCCUCGAAUGAUUCGAAAGCGGAACCAAAGUCGGCUGAUGCCAAAAUUCCACCACGACUGGUGGGCGUGAGUCCGAAGGUGAAUCCCUCGGCGGAUUCCUCGGGUAUCAUUAAAGUGGAAGCCAUGAAAGCUCUGAAGAGCUCCCCCAUGCUCAAAGUUAGUCCUAAUUUCGUUAAACCAAAGACCGAAAGUCCCAAAGGUGCCCUUUCCUUGCAAAUCCAAGCCAAAAGGAAGAAUUCUACUGAUAAUCUGACUCAAAUAGAUGAUAGUAGUAAGGAGAACCUACCCUUGAUCCCCCAAAUGCCCUUACUAAGUCCACAGAGUGAUAAGUGGAGUCCAAAUGUUGCUAGUAUUAAUCAGCAGAACGCUUUUUACACACUAACCACCCCGCAUUACAAGCACAUAAAUGUCGGCUUGCCCCCGCAAUACUCGGCGACCAUCCCGCACCAAAAGCACACGAAGCUCAUCCCUCGAGCCCUCUUCAACGAGCCCCUGCCCAAGAGCAAGUCGUUUUCGUCGAAGCCAAAGCACAAAAAGCACUUCCAAAUCCCGUUGCAGAAGUGCCACAGCUUCAAGUUCCAGACGGCCGAGAGCUACUUCCAGCCCAUCCGGAACGUCCACGAGGAGGACCUCAUGAAGAACGGCUACGUGUCGGACUACCCCGAGGGCCGCUCGCGCCACCACAAGCGCGACAAGCCCAAGCAGAAGACCAAGGGCCCGCUGGUGGUGAUGCGACCCAGCGACUACCACGGCGGCCUCAAUUUCCCCGAGAGCGUGCAGAGCUCGGUGCAGCUGCAGUACCCGCAGCCGGUGCUGGGCAGGAGCUCCAAGAAGCCGAACGGGGUGGUCUACGCCGACCUUGACAUGCCUAAGACUAACAAGAAGGGCUCGCAUGAAAGUAGCUCUUCGUCGCAAAGCAAAACGCAAAAGUCCAAGCCAAAGACUGAAUACGCAACGCUUAGUUUUAACGAUGUAGGACAGGAGAUUGACGUUUAACAUACGAUUAGGAUACUACUUUUACUAAUAUAGAGUAAGACUAAUGGGACAACCACUACUGGUAGUGAUACCUAUAUUUUCUAAGCCUUACCGGCCGGAAUUCACUGACCUAGAAUAUGCAG